rnacentral:misc_RNA from 1 species
GAUGAAGAACGCAGCGAAAUGCGAUACGUAAUGUGAAUUGCAGAAUUCAGUGAAUCAUCGAGUCUUUGAACGCACAUUGCGCCCCCUGGUAUUCCGGGGGGCAUGCCUGUCCGAGCGUCAUUGCUGCCCUCAAGCACGGCUUGUGUGUUGGGCGCUGUCCCCCCGGGGACACGCCCCAAAGGCAGUGGCGGCGCCGCGUCGGGUCCUCGAGCGUAUGGGGCUUUGUCACCCGCUCGGGACGGACUCGUCGGCGCUGGUCUUCCUCCAGGCGACCCUUCGGGGCUCGUCUUCCUUCGGUUGACCUCGGAUCAGGUAGGGUUACCCGCUGAACUUAAGCAUAUCAAUAAGCGGAGGA